AACGAACGCUGGCGGCGUGCCUAACACAUGCAAGUCGAACGCGCUUUCUCGCAUGCUUCGUUAAGAAGCGAGCAAGAGAGCGAGUGGCGGACGGGUGAGUAACACAUGGGUCACCUACCUUUCAGUGAGGAAUACCGACGAGAAAUCGUCGACAAGACCGCAUAUGCUCUUUGCAAAGAGAGCAAAGUCCUUUCGCAAGAAGGGACGCUGGAAGAUGGGCCGUGGCCGAUUAGCUAGUUGGUAGGGUAAUGGCCUACCAAGGCGACGAUCGGUAGCUGGUCUGAGAGGACGAUCAGCCACACUGGGAUUGAGAACGGCCCAGACUCCUACGGGAGGCAGCAGUGAGG
rnacentral:rRNA from 1 species